UUGGCUGCUCACAUCAAUCAGAUUUGUGAGAUAAUAGCUUUAAUUCCUUGUGAUGAAACACACCAAUCCUUUUCUAUAUUACAAAUGUACCCCAGUUUGACUAAGACAAAAAUCAAUCUAAAUGCAGUGCAUUUGCUUUGUCAUUGUAAAUGGUGCUUGGGUAAUGAGCCCCUCAGGGAUGGACGGGAGAGAACAGAGCAGUAGAGGAGGAAACAGGAGUGGGUGGGCUAAGGGCAAGGUUUAUGAUCCAACCUAGAAAUCAGAAGGAGGGAAGACAUUGGGAAAACAUUUCAGUAUUCGAAGAGAGGGCCAGACAGUGAGGUGAAGAAGACCCAACAGAACUGGACUUAAGGUGGGGAGGGGGAAAGAUGUCAUAAAGGUGUUUAGGAUGCUCCCCCUAUGGGGCUGCAGGCACAGGGAGAGGUGUGUAUCAUUAAGUGGCUGCAGGGAAGCACCUUGGAUUCAAAUCCAAGGUCUUCACCUGAAACCUAAGCAGAUUUGGAAAGAACUUAAUUGUUCUUAAGAGGAAAGGAGCUAGUGUUUUUUGAGCUCUUCCAAAUGGGCCUGGCCUUCCACAGAUGUCAUCUCAUUUAAUUCCGCACAGCAUCCCUAUGAAGUAAAUUACAAUAAUAAUAGCUAACAUCCUUUACACGCUUAGUAUGUGCCUGGCACAGCACACUAAGUGCUCAUUUUGCAUUGCCUCUUCCUAACAGCCCUUUCUAAUUGAGGAAACAGAUUUGAAGAUGGGGGUAAUUUACUCAAGGAAUUUAAAUCCAAAUAUGUUUGGAUCCAGGAGCUGGAAUUGACAUCCAAAUAUGUUUGAUCCAAAGCCUAGACUUUCUGGUAUACCAUGAUGCUUCCUCAGUGAGUGUAAAAACCAAUGGAGAUGGAUAGAGAGCCAGGUUAUGUGUCAGUUUGUGACAAGUUGUAGCUGGUGGGUAAGCUGAGUACCUGCCCUUUACUUGGAUAGGCCACGCCUUUUUCUAAAUGCCUCACAAUGAAGUCAAGGUUAUGGUCAAAAGAAGUUUUUAAGGUGAGGAUUUCCAUGACUUAUGCAGGAGCAAGAACAAGGAGUGGAAAUAUAGCCAGGCCCCAUCCCUAUGUUACCAUCUAAUGGUAAAUAACCAAACACACAAAAACAAAAGACUCCAGACCCCCAAGUCUUUGAGCAGUAGUGAAAGGAAUCUCAGGAGAAUAUGGGAAGGCUUGAUCGGAUGGUACUUUGGAAACUGUUAUUUCAUUCAGCAUCCCACACUGCCUCUGGGCUUCACGACGGCCACUUAAAGAGGAGACAAUUCUGCUUUGUAACUGUCACCAAAUGUGAGGACAGGAGGGCUUCCUGGAGAAUGUCUUUCUCUUGAACUCGAAGGUGGAUCUGCUCUCCCCAUAGCCUCCACAGGCUACUGCAGCAGUAUUUCCUCCCCCAAGGGGAGGAAAGGUCAAAGAAGCCAAAAACGGGGGGGAUCAGUAGCUAUAGCAACACAGUCCUCUUCCCCACACCAUAGAUGCCUGUGGGAUUAAGAAAAACUUUCAUCACUGGAUUUUCUUGGCUUCUGACGAUCCAGGAUGUGGUUGUGGUGUGUCUGAGUGUGAUUAUUUUGAAAUUUGAGGUUUAGAACCAGUUACCACCAAGAAUGCUCAGUGGGUGGCAUUGCCUGUGCUCUUUCAGACAUAAAUGGGAGAUGUGAGCUCAGAAAGAAGCUUUUGUAUCUAAAAUGUAUUUUUAUGAUUAAAUUAUAAUUUUUAUAAAUGAACCUUAGUAUCGUUAAGCUAUAUUAUCUCAUGGCUUUCAGCCAGAAUUUUGUGAUGCGCUAUUAAACAAAAAGCAACCCAUACAUGAAGUCUAUAAAAUGAACUUGCUAAAUUCUGAGCUUCAAACAACUUUCUUCUCUUCAAAAUGCCCCAAUCUUCAUGCUAUACUUUUAAUUUAUGAUAAAGACUUUAUUAUCUUUUAUGGUGGAAAAAAGAGAGUGGCAUAUGAGUUAAGACUUCUGGUUAUCUGAGCUUCAAGUCAAGUUAAUUCCCCAAACUUCCAGCUGUACCUGAUACCCUGUCUGCUACAUGAGGCACAAAACUACAACUGCCCCUUAAGGAAUUUAAAUGUAAGGAGUUUCAACAACUCCUGAGGAGAGACAGCAUAAGAAGAGGACGUAAAAACCAUAUCCCAUUUCAAAGUGAAUUUUCAAAACCCAAAACACUCUAAAACACAUCCUGAAACCAGGUAAGAAAAUAAAGUUUCAAUUCAGAAAUAAUUAAGAUUGAAAAUAAACUUGUCCUGGUUAAAGCAAAUGACUGGGUUGGCAGAGGAGGGGAAUGAGCAGCUGUCCAGCUGUUACAGGUGUUUAGGAAAAUGCGACACAGUAGGACUAUGCCCUUGAAGCUGGGCUAGACUCUAGGUUCUUAAGUAGAGUGUCUCCUGUGGCAUAAUUUUUUGAUUAGGGUUCAAAAAUGGAGCAAAAAUUUAUUUUGGAGGACAAAAGAAAAACCCGCCUCUAGAAUUAUCCACGUGGUAAAAUGUCAGAUAUGAUGGACAAGAACAGGAAUUUUCUGUUUUGCCACUUUCAGAGUUAAUUUUCUUCUUCUUUUGAAAUCAGGAGGAAUUACAAAAACCUUUUAUAUCAGAUUUGCAAAUACCAAUAAAUUGCCCACCCCUACUUCUGUCUUUAUCAGCUUGCCCUUUUGACAGGCAGCACACGGUAAAAUGAAUAAAUUCAGCACAUUUUCCUGUUCACCAAGCAUAAAUUAUUACUAACUGUGGUGAGAGGCUAUUUGAAAAGCUGUUUUAUUUGAGAGAGGAGCCUUCUUUUAUCUACAGAUGAUUCUGUUUGAAAUCAAAGUAGAUAUUGUCUUAUCUUUGCGACCUCAGGAAACUGAACUAUGAUGACAUAUUUCCAUUCUAAAGAGGGCAAUGAGAGGAUGCAGGCAUAAGCUGAAUAAACUUGACUAAUCUAUUCCUGUUCUUGGUUCAGAUUCCCAGUCUUUGAAAUACUAGGAGAAUUACCAUAGCAUUAGUAUGUGAUACGACACCAUUGCAUGUUAUCUGGAUUGUGUUAUAACUGGCAGGCUUCAGCUCUGGGUGGAGGGAUUGGACUUAGGGGUGAACUCAGAAAUCCCUUCCAAGUGAAAUGCAUUAUGUGUCUCUCAUACCAUGGCCCUUUAGUAAUGGGCUGUUGCUCUGUAAUUUUUGCUGGUCUUUCAGCUUUCAUGCAUUAAGUCAUGAUUUCCGUCAAAGAAGCUCUAUGAUUCUCACACCUGAAAGGGUUGUAGCAAUUUGAUGAAGUAUCAGUUUGAAGUAACACUGACAAAAAUGUAUAUCUAUCAAAUGAUUAUAGCUUUUAUUCAAUGACAAACAGCAUGGAAAUUCAUAAAUAGUUUUUAUGCAGUAGCACAUUUAUUCAGUCCUCAUUUCAUUUGAUGCCUGUCUUCUGCCUAGUGCUUUCAACAUAAUAAAUUGGGCGUUGAACCAUGAAGCUGGCAUUUAGCAUUAACAUGUCAUAUUGUACCGCUUACCAUUUUGCUAUUUCCUUGAUUGAUUUUUCUUUCUAUUUAUUUUUUAUUUCAGAAGAGUGCAAUGAUUUCAGGAUCAAUGAUUUCUGAAAGUGAACAUUUUUAAUAAAGCAGCUCUGGACUGUGAUUCCUAACUAUUGGGGCAUUGGCAUUAGAGAAAAGAGAUUGGACAUUUUGAACUUUGUGUGUGUCAAAAUGAAACUUUUUGUCCCUGGAUGUGUUGAGAUGGGAAGAAGGAAAAUCUGAUUCUAUGGUUUACUACACUCCAGGAAUUAUCAUCCCUCUAACACCACACAUGAUGGAAAGAGUUUUUUCUUAGGUAAUUUCAGAAGGAAUUUGGUUUUCAAUGUAAUGAAACAUGUACAUGUUCUCCAAUGCUGACAUGUAAGUGAUUUUUCUUCCUGUCAUUCGGCUUGUAUACAUGUUUGCAUUUUCCUCUGGAAAAGGAAUGCUGGUUUCCAUCAUAGGGAGAAUUGUGAGACUGUGAGUACCAUAUUUAUUAGAUUCUGUUUCUGCAUGUGAGUAGAAUUAGAAAGAGGGCAAUGCAGAGGAUAACAAAUUACCCUCUCAUUGGCUGGUGGUGACUAGCAGCUGCAGCAGAACAGCUAGUAGUCAGAUUCCAGAAGCCAAAUGUUCCUUAUAAGGUGGCAGGAUGUGGUGGAGAGAGUCUAGAACUAGCAGGCAGCUGACCCAGCUUGUUCUGCUUCUUCUGCUAACAACUUGUUUAGCUUUAGACAAGACAUGGCACAC